rnacentral:rRNA from 1 species
UCGGGAAUUUUGGGCAAUGGGCGAAAGCCUGACCCAGCAACGCCGCGUGAAGGAUGAAGUAUUUCGGUAUGUAAACUUCGAAAGAAUGGGAAGAAAAAAAUGACGGUACCAUUUAUAAGGUCCGGCUAACUACGUGCCAGCAGCCGCGGUAAUACGUAGGGACCAAGCGUUGUUCGGAUUUACUGGGCGUAAAGGGCGCGUAGGCGGCAUAUUAAGUCAGCUGUGAAAUCUCCGAGCUUAACUCGGAACGGUCAGCUGAUACUGAUGUGCUAGAGUGCGGAAGGGGCAAUCGGAAUUCUUGGUGUAGCGGUGAAAUGCGUAGAUAUCAAGAGGAACACCUGAGGUGAAGACGGGUUGCUGGGCCGACACUGACGCUGAGGGCGCGAAAGCCAGGGGAGCAAACGG